AACGAACGCUGGCGGCGUGCUUAACACAUGCAAGUCGAACGCGAAAGGGACUUCGGUCCUGAGUAAAGUGGCGGCACGGGUGAGUAACGCGUAGAUAACCUGUCUUCAUGUCUGGAAUAAUACGCCGAAAGGGGUACUAAUACCGGAUAUCUUGCUUUUCAUAAGUUAUGCAAGCAAAGGUGGCCUCUGCAUAUGCUACUGCAUGAAGAGGGGUCUGCGUACCAUUAGCUAGUAGGUGGGGUAAUGGCCUACCUAGGCGACGAUGGUUAGCGGGUCUGAGAGGAUGAUCCGCCACACUGGCACUGGAACACGGGCCAGACUCCUACGGGAGGCAGCAGUGAGGAAUAUUGCGCAAUGGGGGAAACCCUGACGCAGCGACGCCGCGUGAGUGAGGAAAGGCCUUCGGGUCGUAAAGCUCUGUCAAGAGGAAAGAAGUGUACAAUGGCUAAUACCUGUUGUAUUUGACGGUACCUCUAAAGGAAGCACCGGCUAACUCCGUGCCAGCAGCAGC
rnacentral:rRNA from 1 species